rnacentral:lncRNA from 1 species
CCUGUUACCUGCUGGGUACCGAAUCUGCUGCUCUUGGUUCAGCUGCCGACUUGGGAGGCCGAAGGAUGGGCGUGGCAAGUGGCCGAAUAUAAAUAAACUAGAGUUUGGGCUUUUUUUCUUUUUUUUUUAGUUUAAGCGAACUCUGUAGGAACUCCUACCACAGCCUCAUGGAACAGUAUGCCAAAGAAAAAAUAUUUGUCUCUUUGGCUAAACCCUUAAUAACGUGCUGCACCUGGACGAAAUGCUUCAUUCCCCUGCUGCUCAGAACCCGCCGCGGAGGUCUGGUCUCGGCCGUCCGGGCCCCGGUUGUCUCUCUGCCCUCCUUCUCUGAGCGCAGGCCGGGAAGUCUCUGCAGCUCAUGGGAAAUUCAGGCUUGUCUGAUGAAGCUGAAGAUCGAGGUCUCCCUGGGUAAUUUUUGGCAAGACAUCCUUUCCAGGGGAGAUUUCAAAGAGAAACGCGACUGAUUCAAUGAAUAAUGUAAAAAAAAAUCAAAAAAGAUAGAUUGUGCAUGUUCUUAGGGAGAAACCACCUAAACAGGCAAUUACUGAACAAACGCUUAUCCUGCGUUACGUCAGGCGGCACAAUGCCUCCACAUCGGUGUCGAUUAAGCAUCUACACGGAUUGCCUUGCGUGUAGAGGUUCCUCAUGGCCGCAACAUUACCACACUGGAGAAAGGAGAACAUUCAGCUAUUGAGAAGGAAUCAAAUACCCUCAAUUGUUAGUAAGGCUAACAGGCCUUUUCUUUUUCAAAGUGACCAAAAAAUUUCACUUUGAGUUUGUGGCCCAUUUGUUGGUCGGAAAAGAAAUACUGUGAGAUUCAUCCUGGACAUCCUGGCUUCUGUGAAACCUUCCUUUUCUUCUCAGCAGUGAGUCAGCCCCUCUACUGAACCAACAAGGGUACAUACAGCCAGUAUUUGCAAUGCCAGCCUAGACUUCUCCUCCUCCAGGAAGUCUUCCCUGACUCUCUGAGACUGGAUUAAAUGUCUGAUUCAGGGAACCAGUGUUACUGUUUAGGGAUGACCUAGUUACUAAUGUAUCUCCCUCUUACGUUUGUUUCUUUGAAGGAGCUCUGGAUUUCUCACUAGUGUCUGGCAUCGUGCCUGUCCCAUAGAUAUUUUAUGGGACUAAUGAAUAGACAGUGAAAGCUUACUCAUGAUAUUGAAGUUGUGCUUUCCCUCUUCUUCAGCUUGAGGACGUUAAAACUGGGGAUCUCAAAGUCUGUGAUUUCGGGUUUCUUUCACUCUCUUAAGAAGUAUUGAGGACCACAAAGAGCUUUUGUUUAUAUGGGUUAUUAUCUAUUGAUAUUUACUGUAUUAGAAAUUAAAACUGAG